GGUUCAUGAAUAUGUGAAUACUCACUUUAUACUGAAGUGGUUCCCCCCGUAGACCAUUUGCCACCAAGAAGAAUGCUCCAAUCCCGGACAAAGAUUUUUUCAUGCUGUGCAACGAAAUUACUUAUAAAGCAGCUACGCUAAAAUGUCAGCCAGAAAACAAGCCUGCCAGAGAAGUCUUGUGCUGCUCCAGAGGAUGCAGGGAGCCAGGCCUCAGUACAGCAUCAGCGGAAAGAUUAUGAAGAGACAAGUCAUGGUUGGAAGAAGACUUCAUGGCAGUCUGAGCAAGGCAGAGAAGUAAAGGAAAGAGAAUGACUCCAAGAAGAUGCCUUCUGUCAGUCAGUAGUUUUAACUGUACUGUAAUCACAAGAGAUGAGUGAACUUUUGAAAUAUUCAAUUCGGCCGAUCGCCGAAUUUUCCAAACAAAUUUGUUUCGGGUUCAAUUUAUUCACGGCGAAUCUAUAUUAAAAAUGGCUACUUCCGGCCUACAGAGAGCCUCAAUAAGGGUGUAGAAUACUUUGCUUUCUUCUAACACGCAUUUGGAGUGUGCUGGGGUAGUGAAAUAUUAUUGUUAUUCAGUAUGACAUGCAGAUUACAGGCAUCGCUAUUAGAAUCACUGCAGCAGAGUGGCACACUGACAGAGUCUGGAGGUGGCAUCAGUAUGAGGAGACCAUAUAGUGGCUGAAUGACACAGCGUGGAGGUGUUGGCAGCAUGAGGAGACCACAAAGUGGCUGAAUGAC